UACAGAGGUCCCAAGCGUUGUUCGGAUUCACUGGGCGUAAAGGGUGCGUAGGUGGUGAGGUAAGUCGGAUGUGAAAGCUCGGAGCUCAACUCCGAAAUGGCAUUGGAAACUACCUUGCUCGAGGGUUGGAGGGGGGACUGGAAUGCUUGGUGUAGCAGUGAAAUGCGUAGAUAUCAAGAGGAACACCAGUGGCGAAGGCGAGUCCCUGGACGAUACCUGACACUGAGGCACGAAAGCUAGGGGAGCAAACAGG
rnacentral:rRNA from 1 species